rnacentral:rRNA from 1 species
CGUGGGUAACCUGCCUAUCAGAGGGGGAUAACAUUCGGAAACGGAUGCUAAAACCGCGUAGGUCUUCGAACCGCAUGGUUUGAAGAGGAAAAGAGGCGCAAGCUUCUGCUGAUGGAUGGACCCGCGGUGCAUUAGCUAGUUGGUGAGGUAACGGCUCACCAAGGCCGUGAUGCAUAGCCGACCUGAGAGGGUGAUCGGCCACAUUGGGACUGAGACACGGCCCAA